GGAGAGGUGGCAGAGUGGUCGAAUGCGCCGGACUCGAAAUCCGGUAUACGGUUCUCCGUAUCGAGGGUCUGAAUCCCUCCUUCUCCGCCA
rnacentral:tRNA from 1 species